rnacentral:rRNA from 1 species
UAGAAUAUCAAUAAGCGGAGGAAAAGAAACCAACAGGGAUUGCCUCAGUAACGGCGAGUGAAGCGGCAACAGCUCAAAUUUGAAAUCUGGCCUCUUUGGGGUCCGAGUUGUAAUUUGUAGAGGAUGUUUCGGGCACCGCUCCGGUUUAAAUUUCUUGGAACAGAAUGUCAAAGAGGGUGAGAACCCCGUCUUGGACCGGCAGUAGGGCCCAUGUGAAACUCCUUCGACGAGUCGAGUUGUUUGGGAAUGCAGCUCAAAAUGGGUGGUAAAUUUCAUCUAAAGCUAAAUAUUGGCCAGAGACCGAUAGCGCACAAGUAGAGUGAUCGAAAGAUGAAAAGCACUUUGAAAAGAGAGUUAAACAGUACGUGAAAUUGUUGAAAGGGAAGCGCUUGCAACCAGACUUGCGCGCGGCGGUUCCCCCUUCCUUUUGGUUGGGUUAUUCCGCCGUGUCCAGGCCAACAUCGGUUCUGGGGGUCGGUUAAAGGCCUGGGGAAUGUAUCUACCCUUCGGGCGUAGACUUAUAGCCCCGGGUGUCAUGCGACCUCCCGGGACCGAGGAACGCGCUUCGGCUCGGAUGUUGGCGUAAUGGUUGUCAGCGACCCGUCUUGAAACACGGACCAAGGAGUCUAACAUCUAUGCGAGUGUUUGGGUGUCAAACCCGGAACGCGGAAUGAAAGUGAACGGAGGUAGGAAGCUUCGGCUGCACUAUCGACCGAUCCUGAUGUCUUCGGAUGGAUUUGAGUAAGAGCAUAGCUGUUGGGACCCGAAAGAUGGUGAACUAUGCCUGAAUAGGGUGAAGCCAGAGGAAACUCUGGUGGAGGCUCGCAGCGGUUCUGACGUGCAAAUCGAUCGUCAAAUUUGGGUAUAGGGGCGAAAGAAU